rnacentral:rRNA from 1 species
AACCCCUGAUGCCGUCGAGCCAAGAAAAGUUUCUAAGUUUAGCUAAUGUUGCCCGUACCGUAAACCGACACAGGUGGGUGGGAUGAGUAUUCUAAGGCGCGUGGAAGAACUCUCUUUAAGGAACUCUGCAAAAUAGCACCGUAUCUUCGGUAUAAGGUGUGGUUAGCUUCGUACUAGGAUUUACUCCGAAAGCGAAGAAACUUACAACAAAGAGUCCCUCCCGACUGUUUACCAAAAACACAGCACUCUGCUAACUCGUAAGAGGAUGUAUAGGGUGUGACGCCUGCCCGGUGCUCGAAGGUUAAUUGAUGGGGUUAGCAUUAGCGAAGCUCUUGAUCGAAGCCCGAGUAAACGGCGGCCGUAACUAUAACGGUCCUAAGGUAGCGAAAUUCCUUGUCGGUUAAAUACCGACCUGCAUGAAUGGCGUAACGAGAUGGGAGCUGUCUCAAAGAGGGAUCCAGUGAAAUUGUAGUGGAGGUGAAAAUUCCUCCUACCCGCGGCAAGACGGAAAGACCCCGUGGACCUUUACUACAGCUUGACACUGCUAUUUGGAUAAGAAUGUGCAGGAUAGGUGGGAGGCUUUGAGUAUAUGACGCCAGUUGUAUAGGAGCCAUUGUUGAGAUACCACUCUUUCUUAUUUGGGUAGCUAACCAGCUUGAGUUAUCCUCAAGUGGGACAAUGUCUGGUGGGUAGUUUGACUGGGGCGGUCGCCUCCCAAAUAAUAACGGAGGCUUACAAAGGUUGGCUCAGAACGGUUGGAAAUCGUUCAUAGAGUAUAAAGGUAUAAGCCAGCUUAACUGCAAGACAUACAAGUCAAGCAGAGACGAAAGUCGGUCUUAGUGAUCCGGUGGUUCUGUGUGGAAGGGCCAUCGCUCAAAGGAUAAAAGGUACCCCGGGGAUAACAGGCUGAUCUCCCCCAAGAGCUCACAUCGACGGGGAGGUUUGGCACCUCGAUGUCGGCUCAUCGCAUCCUGGGGCUGGAGCAGGUCCCAAGGGUAUGGCUGUUCGCCAUUUAAAGCGGUACGCGAGCUGGGUUCAGAACGUCGUGAGACAGUUCGGUCCCUAUCUGCCGUGGGCGUAAGAAGAUUGAAGAGAUUUGACCCUAGUACGAGAGGACCGGGUUGAACAAACCACUGGUGUAGCUGUUGUUCUGCCAAGAGCAUCGCAGCGUAGCUAAGUUUGGAAAGGAUAAACGCUGAAAGCAUCUAAGCGUGAAGCCAACUCUAAGAUGAAUCUUCUCUAAGCUCUCUAGAAGACUACUAGUUUGAUAGGCUGGGUGUGUAAUGGAUGAAAGUCCUUUAGCUGACCAGUACUAAUAGAGCGUUUGGCUUAUCUUUAAUAAAGCAU